rnacentral:rRNA from 1 species
GGUGGCGAGUGGCGAACGGGUGAGUAAUGCGUUGGAACGUAUCCAUUAAUGGGGGAUAACGCAGCGAAAGCUGUGCUAAUACCGCAUACGCCCCGAGGGGGAAAGCAGGGGAUCUUCGGACCUUGCGUUAUUGGAGCGGCCGACGUCUGAUUAGCUAGUUGGUGAGGUAAAGGCUCACCAAGGCGACGAUCAGUAGCUGGUCUGAGAGGAUGAUCAGCCACACUGGAACUGAGACACGGUCCAGACUCCUACGGGAGGCAGCAGUGGGGAAUUUUGGACAAUGGGCGCAAGCCUGAUCCAGCCAUUCCGCGUGAGUGAAGAAGGCCUUCGGGUUGUAAAGCUCUUUCGGCAGGGAAGAAACAGUUGAGGCUAAUAUCCUUGACCAAUGACGGUACCUGCAUAAGAAGCACCGGCUAACUACGUGCCAGCAGCCGCGGUAAUACGUAGGGUGCGAGCGUUAAUCGGAAUUACUGGGCGUAAAGCGUGCGCAGGCGGUUUUUCAAGUCUGAUGUGAAAGCCCCGGGCUUAACCUGGGAACUGCGUUGGAAACUGAAAGACUAGAGUGCGGCAGAGGGGGGUAGAAUUCCACGUGUAGCAGUGAAAUGCGUAGAUAUGUGGAGGAAUACCGAUGGCGAAGGCAGCCCCCUGGGUCGAUACUGACGCUCAUGCACGAAAGCGUGGGUAGCAAACAGGAUUAGAUACCCUGGUAGUCG